rnacentral:lncRNA from 1 species
CAACUCCAGGCCGGGACCCCCAGAAGUCCUUUUGGUUUGGCCUCCGGGCACGCAGACCCGAACCCACGAGGGGAAGGAGGGGAGGAGACUCAGGGAACAGCCUGCGGCGGGGACGGGCGGGCGGAGGGCAGGUGAGUCACCGCUCCCAGCUCAGUGUCCGGAAGGCAGAGGCAAACUCAUCUCGGAGAGUUUCUGAACUUGUGUGGAAAUCAGGAUGUGUGGGAAUUGAAUUUACUCAAGUGCCAACUUACCUUAAACUCCUAAUCCUCCAGCACACCCCCGCAACUGCUGCGAUUAUAGGUCUGCACCAUUAUACCCGGUCUUUUAGGGCCUCUUAAAAAGAGGGAGCAAAUGAGAGCGAUGGCCCCGUGGGUGAAGUUGUUUGCCACUGUAUCAACAAUGCUAGCCUGACAACCUGAGUUGUGGAAAGACAAAAUGAAGGCCACAGAGAUGUCCUCUGACUUCCACACUGGUGCAGAUGGCAAAUCCACCCACCUACGUGUCACACACACAUAACAACAACAAUAAUA